AAUUCAGUUACAGUGGGGAUGAAUGCACCCAUGUAACACCAUGGAAAAAAUCUAUGUGGUCACUAAGAACUGACAACAAUUUGAUGCCAGAGACGAGUUUGCUCGUAGAAAGAGCUUGGUCUCCUUUGGAGCCGGAUUCGAGGCGAUUCCAAUCCCAGAACGGUCAACGCACACAACUCUUCCCCCCUUCCUUUGCUGAGGCACUAAACAGGUCAAUUUCUCUGGCCUCAUUGGACUAAAUUCUUGGGGAUGGUGGCAUGACAGGAUUAUCCCACCAGAUCUUUCUACUAAUGAAACUUUGGAUCAAGCAUGUCCAACUCAUGGCUCGCAGUCCAUAUGCAGUCUCAAGGAUAUUUAUUUCAAGGGAUCCUCCAGGGCAGAAGGGUUGAAAAAGGCUGGAUGAGAAUGAAUAUUAGCCCUGCUUCUUCCUGUUCCCCAGAGUUUCUGUAGAGCUCAUUUGGAGGGGUGAUUGGAACAAAAAGGAGAAGAAAUCUAUGCACUUAAAACUGCUCUGAAUCAGAGUUGGAUGAAGAAUGUUCCUGUGGCUUGAAUUCAUUUGCUUAUAUGCAUUUACUGGAAUGAUUGCAUUAUGUGAAGUGCUACAAAAUGCUUUCAUGCUUUUCAAGUAUGAUAUAUAAUAUUACAAAUAUGCAUUUGUAAUAUUAUAUAAGUAAUAGCAAGUCAAGAAAUGGCAGUCGAUAACAAAAUAUGAACAUAAUGGAAAGAAAUGAUGAAAUAACAAAAAAGAAAAAAUGUGGGACACAAA